GACAGAGGGUGCAAACGUUGUUCGGAAUUACUGGGCGUAAAGCGCAUGUAGGCGGCCAUGCAGGUCGGAUGUGAAAUCCCUCGGCUCAACCAAGGAAGUGCAUUCGAAACCGCAUGGCUGGAGUCCCGGAGAGGAAGGUGGAAUUCUCGGUGUAGAGGUGAAAUUCGUAGAUAUCGAGAGGAACAUCGGCGGCGAAAGCGGCCUUCUGGACGAGGACUGACGCUGAGAUGCGAAAGCGUGGGGAGCAAAC
rnacentral:rRNA from 1 species